rnacentral:rRNA from 1 species
AUUGAACGCUGGCGGCAGGCCUAACACAUGCAAGUCGAGCGGAUGAAGGGAGCUUGCUCCUGGAUUCAGCGGCGGACGGGUGAGUAAUGCCUAGGAAUCUGCCUGGUAGUGGGGGAUAACGUCCGGAAACGGGCGCUAAUACCGCAUACGUCCUGAGGGAGAAAGUGGGGGAUCUUCGGACCUCACGCUAUCAGAUGAGCCUAGGUCGGAUUAGCUAGUUGGUGGGGUAAAGGCCUACCAAGGCGACGAUCCGUAACUGGUCUGAGAGGAUGAUCAGUCACACUGGAACUGAGACACGGUCCAGGCUACUACGGGAGGCAGCAGUGGGGAAUAUUGGACAGUGGGCGAAAGCCUGAUCCAGCCAUGCCGCGUGUGUGAAGAAGGUCUUCGGAUUGGAAAGCACUUUAAGUUGGGGGGAAGGGCAGUAAGUUAAUACCUUGCUGUUUUGACGUUACCAACAGAAUAAGCACCGGCUAACUUCGUG